UCCAGAGAUUAUAAGGGAAAUAAGGAAGGUUACAACAGUAACUAGCGAUUGUUCAGUCAAAGAAAAAUAUUUGUCAGUAAAUGUUCCACCAUUAUUAACACAGCAAUAGGCGUUUUGGUGCAAUCAAUGAAGGUUCCACCUUUAAUAACAGGUAAGUUUAAUCUAGAUAAAUGUUAAUUGCUACUGCAACUAUCAAUUUAGAUAUUGAAGUCGAAGUUUACACGUAAAUGAAAUGGAUAUUUGCUUGUCACCUAUUUAUGUCAGAGCAACCAGUAGGGCAAGUUUAUUCAGCUUGAUCGAUCAGUGUGUUACUGAGAUGCGGCCACAGCUACAUGCUGGUAUAAAACCAGCACAAAUCAGUUUCCAGUUUGCAGCCACGGCCCACAGCUACAGAUGCAAAAAUCUGAAGCGACCACUCCAUUUUUUCCCUUAGUCUAUGCAUGCACUGCGUGAACCACAAAGAAAACCUGGAAUUGUCACUAGCAUAUCAUCUGACAAUUUUUUACAACCAACCGGCCAUACACAUAGUGAGGGAAAUAGUGAAUUAGAAUUUCUAAAGUAUCAUGCCAAUUGCAAAUUUGCAUUGGCCUCCAUCCGUCCAUCGUUGCAAAAAGAGUGAAUGAGAAAUACGCUGCUCAAGUCUUGACUGUUUCCCCUUCGAAGGAAUCCGAAUUUUUGUAAUCUCGAAAGACCACUAAAUCCAAUGAUGCGCUACUAGCC
rnacentral:lncRNA from 1 species